rnacentral:snoRNA from 1 species
CAUUCCUCGGAAAAUCUGAACAAAAUGAGUAAAAACUCACUACCGUUAUUC